UACAGAGGUCUCAAGCGUUGUUCGGAUUCAUUGGGCGUAAAGGGUGCGUAGGUGGCGCGCUAAGUCAGGUGUGAAAUUUCGGAGCUUAACUCCGAAACUGCAUUUGAUACUGGCGUGCUUGAGGACUGGAGAGGAGACUGGAAUUCAUGGUGUAGCAGUGAAAUGCGUAGAGAUCAUGAGGAAGACCAGUGGCGAAGGCGGGUCUCUGGACCACUACUGACGCUGAGGCGCGAAAGCUAGGGGAGCAAACAGG
rnacentral:rRNA from 1 species